rnacentral:rRNA from 1 species
GACGAACGCUGGCGGCGUGCCUAACACAUGCAAGUCGAGCGGAGCGGCGAACGGGUGAGUAACGCGCGAGUAACUGCCCCCCUCUCUGGGAUAACAGUUGGAAACGGCUGCUCAUACCGGAUAGUGGUGGUUGACUCGCGUCCUAUGAGCUAUUUGGUGGGGUAGUGGCCUCCCAAGGGGACGACGGGUCGCCGGCCUGGGAGGGCGACCGGCCACAAUGUGCUGAGGUAGGGCCCAAGCUCCAACGUGGGGCAGCGGGGGGGAAUAUUGCCCAAGCGGGGAGACCCUGAUGAAGCAGCGCCGGGUGCGGAAUGACGGCCUUCGGGUUGUAAACCGCUUUCAGCCAUGACGCGGUAGUGGCAGAAGAAGCACCGGCUAACUACGUGCCAGCAGCCGCGGUAAUAC